CUUGUGGGUCGAUGAAGAACGCAGCUAAUUGCGCGUUGACAUGUGAACUGCAGGACACAUGAACAUCGACAUUUCGAACGCACAUUGCGGCUCUAGGACUUGUUCCUGGGCCACACCUGACUGAGGGUCGG
rnacentral:rRNA from 1 species